rnacentral:rRNA from 2 species
GAACGAGGUAGAUGAAGAGGUCUGGAAAGGCCCGCCAUAGGAGGUAACAGCCCUGUAGUCAAAACUUCGUUCUCUCCUGAGUGGAUCCUGAGUACGGCGGAACACGUGAAAUUCCGUCGGAAUCCGGGAGGACCAUCUCCCAAGGCUAAAUACUCCCUAGUGACCGAUAGUGAACCAGUACCGUGAGGGAAAGGUGAAAAGCACCCCGGAAGGGGAGUGAAAGAGAUCCUGAAACCGUGUGCCUACAAGUAGUCAGAGCCCGUUAACGGGUGAUGGCGUGCCUUUUGUAGAAUGAACCGGCGAGUUACGAUCCCGUGCAAGGUUAAGCAGAAGAUGCGGAGCCGCAGCGAAAGCGAGUCUGAAUAGGGCGCAUGAGUACGUGGUCGUAGACCCGAAACCAGGUGAUCUACCCAUGUCCAGGGUGAAGUUCAGGUAACACUGAAUGGAGGCCCGAACCCACGCACGUUGAAAAGUGCGGGGAUGAGGUGUGGGUAGGGGUGAAAUGCCAAUCGAACCUGGAGAUAGCUGGUUCUCUCCGAAAUAGCUUUAGGGCUAGCCUCAAGGUAAGAGUCUUGGAGGUAGAGCACUGAUUGGACUAGGGGCCCCUACCGGGUUACCGAAUUCAGUCAAACUCCGAAUGCCAAUGACUUAUCCUUGGGAGUCAGACUGCGAGUGAUAAGAUCCGUAGUCGAAAGGGAAACAGCCCAGACCGCCAGCUAAGGUCCCAAAGUAUACGUUAAGUGGAAAAGGAUGUGGAGUUGCUUAGACAACCAGGAUGUUGGCUUAGAAGCAGCCACCAUUUAAAGAGUGCGUAAUAGCUCACUGGUCGAGUGACUCUGCGCCGAAAAUGUACCGGGGCUAAACGUAUCACCGAAGCUGCGGACUGUUCUUCGAACAGUGGUAGGAGAGCGUUCUAAGGGCUGUGAAGCCAGACCGGAAGGACUGGUGGAGCGCUUAGAAGUGAGAAUGCCGGUAUGAGUAGCGAAAGAGGGGUG